rnacentral:rRNA from 1 species
CAAUGCUGCGGUGAAUACGUUCCCGGGCCUUGUACACACCGCCCGUCAAGCCAUGGAAGCUGGGGGUACCUGAAGACGGUAACCGUAAGGAACCGUUUAGGGUAAAACCGGUAACUGGGGCU